rnacentral:rRNA from 1 species
AUAAGCACUUGUACUGUGAAACUGCGAAUGGCUCAUUAAAUCAGUUAUCGUUUAUUUGAUUGUACCUUACUACAUGGAUACCUGUGGUAAUUCUAGAGCUAAUACAUGCGAAAGAUCCCGACUUCACGGAAGGGAUGUAUUUAUUAGACUAAAAACCAAUGCGGGCCUCGGUCCGCUUGCUUGGUGAUUCAUGAUAACUUUUCGAAUCGCAUGGCCUUGCGCCGGCGAUGUUUCAUUCAAAUUUCUGCCCUAUCAACUGUCGAUGGUAAGGUAGUGGCUUACCAUGGUUGCAACGGGUGACGGAGAAUUAGGGUUCGAUUCCGGAGAGGGAGCCUGAGAAACGGCUACCACAUCUAAGGAAGGCAGCAGGCACGAAAAUUACCCAAUCCCGAUUCGGGGAGGUAGUGACAAGAAAUAACGGUACGGGCCUUUAUAGGUCUCGCAAUCGGAAUGAGAACAAUUUAAUCCUUUAACGAGGAUCAAUUGGAGGGCAAGUCUGGUGCCAGCAGCCGCGGUAAUUCCAGCUCCAAUAGCGUAUAUUAAAGUUGUUGCAGUUAAAAAGCUCGUAGUUGGAUUUCGGAGCGGGCCCGUCGGUCCACCGCAAGGUGAGCUACUGGCGGGUCUGUUCUUCUUCGCAAAGACUGCAGGUGCACUUCGCUGUGUGCUUGUCGGAUUUGUGACGUUUACUUUGAAAAAAUUAGAGUGUUCAAAGCAGGCUUUCGCUUGAAUACAUGAGCAUGGAAUAAUGGAAUAGGACUUUGGUUCUAUUUUGUUGGUUUCUAGGACCGAAGUAAUGAUUAAGAGGGACAAACGGGGGCAUCUGUAUUUCGUUGUCAGAGGUGAAAUUCUUGGAUUUGCGAAAGACAAACAACUGCGAAAGCACUUGCCAAGAGUGUUUUCAUUAAUCAAGAACGAAAGUUAGAGGAUCGAAGACGAUCAGAUACCGUCCUAGUUCUAACCAUAAACGAUGUCGACUAGGGAUCGGCGGGCGUUAUUUUAUGACCCCGUCGGCACCUUACGGGAAACCAAAGUUUUUGGAUUCCGGGGGUA